UACUUCAUCAACCGAAAAGGUUUUACUUAACUGUAGAUUAAUAGGGAAUCGUGUGCAAAUCACGAACUGUCGCGCAACUGUAAGUAACACACCAAAAGUUUUUAUCCUAGUAUAUCCACUGCCAAAAGCGGGAAGGAUGAUAAAAGCUGUUAUAAGUCAGGAGACCUGCCUAUUCGGAUAUUGACAA
rnacentral:ncRNA from 1 species